rnacentral:rRNA from 1 species
AAAGAGCUCGUAGGUGGUCUGUUGCGUCCGCUGUGAAAUCUCAGGGCUUAACCCUGAGCCUGCAGUGGAUACGGGCAGACUAGAGGUAGGUAGGGGAGAAUGGAAUUCCUGGUGUAGCGGUGAAAUGCGCAGAUAUCAGGAGGAACACCGGUGGCGAAGGCGGUUCUCUGGGCCUUACCUGACACUGAGGAGCGAAAGCGUGGGGAGCGAACAGGAUUAGAUACCCCAGU